rnacentral:rRNA from 1 species
AGAGUUUGAUCAUGGCUCAGGACGAACGCUGGCGGCGUGCUUAACACAUGCAAGUCGAGCGGACCGACUCCGUCUCUUCGGAGACGGGAUAGGUUAGCGGCGAACGGGUGAGUAACACGUGGGUAAUCUGCCCCGAAGAUCGGGAUAACUCCGGGAAACCGGGGCUAAUACCGGAUCCCUUGCCGGAACCGCAUGAUUCCGGCAAGAAAGGUCGUCUUCGGACUUCCGCUUCGGGAUGAGCCCGCGGCCCAUUAGCUUGUUGGUGAGGUAACGGCUCACCAAGGCAACGAUGGGUAGCCGGCCUGAGAGGGUGUCCGGUCACACUGGGACUGAGAUACGGCCCAGACUCCUACGGGAGGCAGCAGUGAGGAAUAUUGCGCAAUGGGCGAAAGCCUGACGCAGCGACGCCGCGUGGACGAUGAAGGCCUUCGGGUUGUAAAGUCCUGUCAGGAGGGACGAAGCGGUACUUGUACCGUGACGGUACCUCGGUAGGAAGCUCCGGCUAACUACGUGCCAGCAGCCGCGGUAAGACGUAGGGGGCUAGCGUUGUCCGGAAUUACUGGGCGUAAAGAGCUCGUAGGCGGUUUGUUAAGUUGGGUGUGAAAGCCCUCGGCUCAACCGAGGAAUUGCACUCGAUACUGGCAGGCUAGAGUCUAGCAGAGGGAAGUGGAAUUCCCGGUGUAGCGGUGAAAUGCGCAGAUAUCGGGAAGAACACCGGUGGCGAAGGCGGCUUCCUGGGCUAUGACUGACGCUGAGGAGCGAAAGCUAGGGGAGCAAACAGGAUUAGAUACCCUAGUAGUCC